UNUGACUUGAGUGCAGAAGGGGAGAGUGGAAUUCCAUGUGUAGCGGUGAAAUGCGUAGAUAUAUGGAGGAACACCAGUGGCGAAAGCGGCUCUCUGGUCUGUCACUGACGCUGAGGCUCGANAGCGUGGGUAGCGAACAGGAUUAGAUACCCUGGUAGUNCACGCCGUAAACGAUGAGUGCUAGGUGUUAGGCCCUUUCCGGGGCUUAGUGCCGGAGCUAACGCAAUAAGCACUCCGCCUGGGGAGUACGACCGCAAGGUUGAAACUCAAGGGAAUUGACGGGGGCCCGCACAAGCGGUGGAGCAUGUGGUUUAAUUCGAAGCAACGCGAAGAACCUUACCAGGUCUUGACAUCCCGAUGCUAUUCUUAGAGAUAGGAAGUUACUUCGGUACAUCGGAGACAGGUGGUGCAUGGUUGUCGUCAGCUCGUGUCGUGAGAUGUUGGGUUAAGUCCCGCAACGAGCGCAACCCUUAUUGUUAGUUGCCAUCAUUAAGUUGGGCACUCUAGCGAGACUGCCGGUAAUAAACCGGAGGAAGGUGGGGAUGACGUCAAAUCAUCAUGCCCCUUAUGACCUGGGCUACACACGUGCUACAAUGGUCGGUACAACGAGUUGCGAGCCGGUGACGGCAAGCUAAUCUCUGAAAGCCGAUCUCAGUUCGGAUUGGAGGCUGCAACUCGCCUCCAUGAAGUCGGAAUCGCUAGUAAUCGCGGAUCAGCACGCCGCGGUGAAUACGUUCCCGGGCCUUGUACACACCGCCCGUCACACCACGAGAGUUUGUAACACCCGAAGUCGGUGAGGUANCCUUUUAGGGGC
rnacentral:rRNA from 1 species